CCUACGGGUGGCAGCAGUGAGGAAUAUUGGUCAAUGGACGAGAGUCUGAACCAGCCAAGUAGCGUGAAGGAUGACUGCCCUAUGGGUUGUAAACUUCUUUUAUAAAGGAAUAAAACGAGGCACGUGUGCCUUUUUGCAUGUACUUUAUGAAUAAGGAUCGGCUAACUCCGGGCCAGCAGCCGCGGUAAUACGGAGGAUGCGAGCGUUAUCCGGAUUUAUUGGGUUGAAAGGGAGCGUAGAUGGGUUGUUAAGUCAGUUGUGAAAGUUUGCGGCUCAACCGUAAAAUUGCAAUUGAUACUGGAAGUCUUGAGUACAGUUGAGGUAGGCGGAAUUCGUGGUGUAGCGGUGAAAUGCUUAGAUAUCACGAAGAACCCCGAUUGCGAAGGCAGCUUACUAAACUGUGACUGACAUUGAUGCUCGAAAGUGUGGGUAUCAAACAGGAUUAGAUACCCCUGUAGUC
rnacentral:rRNA from 1 species